CUCGCUGCGCGUUGAAGUCGGACUGCGAAGGGACUUCGCGUGGAUUGGCUCAGCUGUGACCGUCAGGUCGAUUCGGCAGGCGAUUAACAACCAACUUAGAACUGGAACGGACAAGGGGAAUCUGACUGUUUAAUUAAAACAAAGCAUUGCGAUGGCUGGUGACUGGUGUUGACGCAAUGUGAUUUCUGCCCAGUGCUCUGAAUGUCAAAGUGAAGUAAUUCAUCCAAGCGCGGGUAAACGGCGGGAGUAACUAUGACUCUGACGCAAAUGGCGCUCUUGGUUAAUACCGGGAGCAUGUCUGUCUGAGUGUUAGUUAAAAACGAGAAACGAACGCGUUCUCGCGCGUUCGAUUCGAUUGAGGCGUCGCGUUCGAUUGUAAAAUGACAACGCGUCCCUCGAAGUGCAGCACGCGCUCAACACGUCGCCGCGUGAGCAAGGCCUAAAUUGCAUUUUUAACCUU
rnacentral:rRNA from 1 species